UCGAGAAUUUUUCUCAAUGGGGGAAACCCUGAAGGAGCGACGCCGCGUGGAGGAUGAAGGUCUUCGGAUUGUAAACUCCUGUCAUGAGGGAACAAACCUUCACGUUUAACUGAUGUGAAGCUGAUAGUACCUCAAGAGGAAGAGACGGCUAACUCUGUGCCAGCAGCCGCGGUAAUACAGAGGUCUCAAGCGUUGUUCGGAUUCAUUGGGCGUAAAGGGUGCGUAGGCGGCGAAGCAAGUCAGAUGUGAAAUCCCGGGGCUCAACCCCGGAACUGCAUUUGAUACUGCUUUGCUUGAGGACUGGAGAGGAGAUCGGAAUUCACGGUGUAGCAGUGAAAUGCGUAGAUAUCGUGAGGAAGGCCAGUGGCGAAGGCGGAUCUCUGGACAGUUCCUGACGCUGAGGCACGAAGGCCAGGGGAGCAAACGGGAUUAGAUACCCCCGUAGUCC
rnacentral:rRNA from 1 species